rnacentral:rRNA from 1 species
GGACUACUAGGGUAUCUAAUCCUGUUUGCUCCCCUUGCUCUCGCGCCUCAGCGUCAGGUAUAAACUAGAAAACCGCUUUCGCCACAGGUGUUCUUCCACAUAUCUACGCAUUUCACCGCUACACGUGGAAUUCCGUUUUCUCCGUCAAUCCUCGAGAUACACAGUUUCAAAUGCAGUCCUGAAGUUGAGCUUCAGAAUUUCACAUCUGACUUAUCUAUCCGCCUACGCGCCCUUUACGCCCAAUAAUUCCGAUUAAUGCUUGCACUCUCCGUAUUACCGCGGCUGCUGGCAC